rnacentral:rRNA from 1 species
AUUGAACGCUGGCGGCAGGCCUAACACAUGCAAGUCGAGCGGUAGCACAGAGAGCUUGCUCUCGGGUGACGAGCGGCGGACGGGUGAGUAAUGUCUGGGAAACUGCCUGAUGGAGGGGGAUAACUACUGGAAACGGUAGCUAAUACCGCAUAACGUCGCAAGACCAAAGAGGGGGACCUUCGGGCCUCUUGCCAUCAGAUGUGCCCAGAUGGGAUUAGCUAGUAGGUGGGGUAAUGGCUC